rnacentral:rRNA from 1 species
CCCUUAGAUGUUCUGGGCUGCACACGUGCUACACUGGCAGGUUCAGCGAGCUUCAUGCCCUGAUCUGAAAGGAAUGGGAAAUCUUUUCAAAACCUGCCGUGCUUGGGAUAGAUGUUUGCAAUUAUUCAUCUUCAACGAGGAUUGCCUUGUAAGCGCACGUCAUCAGCGUGCAUUGAAUACGACCCUGUAUUCUGUACACACCGCCCGUCGCUCCUACCGAUUGAAGUUUUCGGUAAGUUGACAGGAGGAUUUUUUUGAAACUGGUUCGCCAGUGGAUUUUAGAUCCAAAUGCCAACGAAUCGAUGGCUUUAGAGGAAGGAGAAGUCGUAACA